AAAACUGACACUGAUGCACGAAAGCGUGGGUAGCGAACGGGAUUAGAUACCCCGGUAGUCCACGCAGUAAACGAUGAUAACUCGUUGUAGGCGAUAUACCGUCUGUGACCAAGCGAAAGCGAUAAGUUAUCCACCUGGGGAGUACGACCGCAAGGUUGAAACUCAAAGGAAUUGACGGGGGCCCGCACAAGCGGAGGAACAUGUGGUUUAAUUCGAUGAUACGCGAGGAACCUUACCCGGGCUUGAAAGUUAGUGACCGGUUCAGAGAUGGACUUUUCCUUUUAGGACACGAAACUAGGUGCUGCAUGGUUGUCGUCAGCUCGUGCCGUGAGGUGUCGGGUUAAGUCCCAUAACGAGCGCAACCCCUAUCGAUAGUUACCAGCGAUUAGAGUCGGGGACUCUAUCGAGACUGCCAGUGUAAGCUGAGAGGAAGGUGGGGAUGACGUCAAAUCAGCACGGCCCUUACGUCCGGGGCGACACACGUGUUACAAUGGUCGGUACAGAGGGCAGCUACCCAGUGAUGGGAUGCGAAUCUCGAAAGCCGAUCUCAGUUCGGAUUGGAGGCUGGAACUCGCCUCCAUGAAGUUGGAUUCGCUAGUAAUCGCAUAUCAGCCAUGAUGCGGUGAAUACGUUCCCGGGCCUUGUACACACCGCCCGUCAAACCAUGGAAGUUGGGGGUGCCUGAAGUCCGUUACCGCGAGGGACGGCCUAGGGCAAACUCGGUAACUAGGGCU
rnacentral:rRNA from 1 species